AUUGAACGCUGGCGGCAGGCUUAACACAUGCAAGUCGAACGAGUGGCGGACGGGUGAGUAAUGCUUGGGAAUCUAGCUUAUGGAGGGGGAUAACUACGGGAAACUGUAGCUAAUACCGCGUACCAUAGGAUGAGCCCAAGUUGGAUUAGGGAGUGGGUGAGGUAAAGGCUCACCAAGCCGACGAUCUCUAGCUGGUCUGAGAGGAUGACCAUGCACACUGGGACUUGGACACGGCCCCGACUCCGACGGGAGGCAGCAUUGGGGAAUAUUGCGCAAUGGGGGCAACCUGACGCAGCCAUGCCGCGUGAAUGAAGAAGGCCUUCGGGUUGUAAAGUACUUUCAGUCGGGAGGCGUUACCGACAGAAGAAGCACCGGCUAACUCCGUGCCAGCAGCCGCGGUAAUUC
rnacentral:rRNA from 1 species